rnacentral:rRNA from 1 species
UGCGUAGGCGGAAUAUUAAGUCAGUGGUGAAAUCCUGCGGCUCAACCGUAGAACUGCCAUUGAUACUGAUAUUCUUGAAUGUAGUUGAGGUAGGCAGAAUGUGUAAUGUAGCGGUGAAAUGCUUAGAUAUUACACAGAACACCGAUUGCGAAGGCAGCUUACUAAACUAUGAUUGACGCUGAUGCACGAAAGCGUGGGGAGCGAACAGGAUUAGAUACCCUGGUAGUC